rnacentral:rRNA from 1 species
AUUGAACGCUGGCGGCAUGCCUUACACAUGCAAGUCGAACGGCAGCACAGGAGCUUGCUCCUGAUGGCGAGUGGCGAACGGGUGAGUAAUAUAUCGGAACGUGCCCUAGAGUGGGGGAUAACUAGUCGAAAGAUUAGCUAAUACCGCAUACGAUCUACGGAUGAAAGUGGGGGAUCGCAAGACCUCAUGCUCCUGGAGCGGCCGAUAUCUGAUUAGCUAGUUGGUGGGGUAAAAGCCUACCAAGGCGACGAUCAGUAGCUGGUCUGAGAGGACGACCAGCCACACUGGGACUGAGACACGGCCCAGACUCCUACGGGAGGCAGCAGUGGGGAAUUUUGGACAAUGGGGGCAACCCUGAUCCAGCAAUGCCGCGUGAGUGAAGAAGGCCUUCGGGUUGUAAAGCUCUUUUGUCAGGGAAGAAACGGUUCUGGAUAAUACCCAGAGCUAAUGACGGUGCCUGAAGAAUAAGCACCGGCUAACUACGUGCCAGCCGCCGCGGUAA